rnacentral:rRNA from 1 species
GAUGAACGCUGGCGGCGUGCCUAAUACAUGCAAGUCGAGCGAACAGACGAGAGUGCUUGCACUCUCUGACGUUAGCGGCGGACGGGUGAGUCACACGUGUGUAACCUACCUAUAAGACUGGGAUCACUUCGGGAAACCGGAGCUAAUACCGGAUAAUAUUUAGCUUCGCAUGAAGCAAUAGUGAAAGACGGUUCUGCUGUCACUUAUAGAUGGACCCGCGGUGUAUUAGCUAGUUGGUGAGGUAACGGCUCACCAAGGCAACGAUACAUAGCCGACCUGAGAGGGUGAUCGGCCACACUGGGACUGAGACACGGCCCAGACUCCUAAGGGAGGCAGCAGUAGGGAAUCUUCCGCAAUGGACGAAAGUCUGACGGAGCAAUGCCGCGUGAGUGAAGAAGGUUUUCGGAUCGUAAAACUCUGUUGUAAGGGAAGAACAAGUACGUUAGUAACUGAACGUACCUUGACGGUACCUUAACAGAAAGCCACGGCUAACUACGUG